UGCAUUCUGAACAUUCUGGUAGAGGGGUGAUCUUCUCCUUCAGUUGUCUUCUAAGCUCCAAGACUUCUUCUUCAAGAUAGUCCUCUGAUUUCUGUCUCAACUCCAUCUCUUUCUUCAACUGAGUGUCUUUGUCUUUGAGUUGCUUUUCUAGGUCUCUGAUCUUCUUCUGAUAGUUGACUUCUGCUCUCUGCAACCUCAAACACUCCCUAUGCUCUGUAUCCAACAUGGAUUCCAUCUC
rnacentral:lncRNA from 1 species